AUUCCAGCUCCAAUAGCGUAUAUUUAAGUUGUUGCGGUUAAAAAGCUCGUAGUUGGAUCUCGGGCGUGGAGGUUCGGUCCGCCGUUUCGGUGUGCACUGUCUUUCUGCGUCUUUCUGUCGGGGACGCGCUUCUGGCCUUAAUUGGCUGGGACUUGGAUUCGACGAGGUUACUUUGAAAAAAUUAGAGUGUUCAAAGCAAGCUAAAGCUCUGAAUACAUUAGCAUGGAAUAACGCGAGAGGACUCGGUCCUUAUUUUGUUGGUCUUCAAGGAUGGAGUAAUGAUUAAGAGGGACAGUUGGGGGCAUUCGUAUUUCAUUGCUAGAGGUGAAAUUCUUGGAUUUAUGAAAGACGAACUUCUGCGAAAGCAUUUGCCAAGGAUGUUUUCAUUA
rnacentral:rRNA from 1 species